ACCACCAGCACUGUGCCGUAUAUGGCCAGGAACGGGGCGGACAUCAUGGCGUAUCGCCGCCGAUCUCUCAUCAUCCAAAUGAUACAGGACCACACCAGCAGGGCGAACGUCAGCCAAUUGUUCUGUCCAAAUAUGACCAGACCACUUGGACCUGAGGGGGGAGGCAAGGUAUCUGCUAGGCUCUUUGGUUCCUCAUCCUCACUCUUCUCCUCCUCCUCCUCUUCCUCAUCUUCCUCCUCUUCCUCCUUAUCCUCCUCCUCCUCCUCCUCACUGUCUGUCUCUACCACAAAACAGAGACAAAGAAAUUAGUUAAAGUUAGUUAAACUUAAUUUGACCAGUUUUACAACUGAAUGUAUCACAUGCAAGUCAUUAAUGCAAUGAUAAUCUAACAGUGAAUCGGUUCAUGUAUUCAGAGAAGACAUUUGAUUACCAUGUAUUGGUGAGGCUUUGCCUUCAUACUGUGGUGGAGCAUAACAGUUUGUGUAGCCUGCCCCUCCUAGCAGAGAUGCCAGAUCACUUCUAUCUUGCCAGGAACUGCUCGUCAUUAAGAUCAUUGGCUGAAGAAAGAGAGCGCAUCAUACUAUGACCCUGGAGAAGCUUGGGGGAGCAUCUGGACUUUCUAAUGGAAUCUCAUUCUCCUCAUCAAAAACAGUGUCCUGAGAACAGUAGCCAUGAAAAGACUGUCAUACAUCAUCUCGUGGUACGAUCUGCUGGGACAGGGGUAACUGGUAGACGUACAGAGCCAGCAGGUGUCCCCCGCUGAAGAUGGACAUCAUCACACACAGGGAGCUGAAGAGGAGCAGGCUGAUGGAGCGGCUGAACACC